UACGAAGGGGGCUAGCGUUGCUCGGAAUGACUGGGCGUAAAGGGCGCGUAGGCGGCUUGUAUAGUCGGAUGUGAAAUUCCUGGGCUUAACCUGGGGGCUGCAUACGAGACGUAUGGGCUUGAGUGCGGAAGAGGGUCGUGGAAUUCCCAGUGUAGAGGUGAAAUUCGUAGAUAUUGGGAAGAACACCAGUGGCGAAGGCGGCUCACUGGCUCGUAACUGACGCUCAGGCGCGACAGCGUGGGGAUCAAACAGG
rnacentral:rRNA from 1 species